AUGAGGUCUUUUCGGUCCAGUCAACAUUCAAACUCAUAAACGUAUACAUCGUUUAUACUCAUCAAGAAUAUAUAUAUAAUUAUAUCAAAAAAUUUCGUUAUUCUUUAUUCUGAGAUUUUUCAACCACCCUUUUGAAGUCUUCAUGGACCAAAACUGGAUAGACGAGAUAGUAAAUUUAAACAUUUGAUCUUUGAACUGGUUUUCACUGCGGAUGCUGAACCUUUGGACCUGAUCAGGUCUUUUUAAAAUAGUCCAACAGAAGGGAGAAACUGUGGAAGGUGAACUAAAAAGCAGUAUAUUUAGGAAUGCUGAGAAAAGCUGAGCUCUUAUUUAUUUUAGUGAUAUUUUAAAAAAAAAUUUCAUUACUUAUAAGAUUUUUUGUUUAUCUAUGAAAAAUUUUAUAUAUUUAACAAUUACUUUUUAAAGGAAAUAAACGAUCAAAAAUUUU